GAACGAUUGAAUAUGGCAGAAGGAGAAGGGGACGCGAAAGUCUCCGCUAUGAGAGACUUGGAUUUACCUGAUUUGCAAAAUGCUAUCAAGCGUGAUCCCGAUUCUUAUGUUGUGGAGUUCCAGGCUCGAU
rnacentral:ribozyme from 1 species